GUGAGGUAAAGGCUCACCAAGCCUUCGAUCUGUAGCUGGUCUGAGAGGACGACCAGCCACACUGGGACUGAGACACGGCCCAGACUCCUACGGGAGGCAGCAGUGGGGAAUUUUGGACAAUGGGCGAAAGCCUGAUCCAGCCAUGCCGCGUGCAGGAUGAAGGCCUUCGGGUUGUAAACUGCUUUUGUACGGAACGAAACGGCCUUUUCUAAUAAAGAGGGCUAAUGACGGUUUCGUAAGAAUAAGCACCGGCUAACUACGUGCCAGCAGCCGCGGUAAUACGUAGGGUGCAAGCGUUAAUCGGAAUUACUGGGCGUAAAGCGUGCGCAGGCGGUAAUGUAAGACAGUUGUGAAAUCCCCGGGCUCAACCUGGGAACUGCAUCUGUGACUGCAUUGCUGGAGUACGGCAGAGGGGGAUGGAAUUCCGCGUGUAGCAGUGAAAUGCGUAGAUAUGCGGAGGAACACCGAUGGCGAA
rnacentral:rRNA from 1 species